rnacentral:lncRNA from 1 species
GAGCCAUGGGAUGCACAAAUUGUAUUGAGGAUAUUUUCGAGGUGUAAAUUAAAGAAACGGUAUGCAGUUUUCUGGUCAUCAAUCUCUCUAUUGCAGUUUGGACAAGUAUUAGAUGUUACAUGUUGAAGCCCGUAUAUAACGGCCAAAAUAUACUAAUAAAUGAACACAGUUGAAAUAUUAAUUGACAUUAGGUGUAGUAGAAAUAUUUUUUUAACAAUCAACUAAAAAGCCAUAAAAACAAAAAUGUUAAACUAUCUUUUAGGGGUUUAUUCAUAUUUUUAUUUUUUUAAGCAUAAUAAAAUGAUUAAUAUACCUUUUUACAUAAAAAAAAAUUAACUAACACCUAGUGGUUUUUUUGUAUUUUCAUCAUAGUUGUUUUUUUGUUAUAAUCAGGUUGGCUUAGUAGUAAUUUAGUCAUUAAGUAUUAAUUAAAAAAAUGGUUGAUAUGGCAUUCCACGCGUCAAUGUAUGGGUUAUUCUCAUGUUAUUUGGGCAGCGGGUGCAAUAACAUAGCGUGCAUUGCCUAUUCGUUGGCAUGCCAUCAAUUUUUUUUUUAAAAUAGUAUAUAUAUUUGUCUAAAGAUCAAAUAGCUUCCCAAUUAAUUUUUUAAUAGCUGAAACAUAGUUUGAAAUUAUAAAAAAACUAAUGGAUCCUCAAUCGAUUUUAUAAUGACCAAUGACUCAUAUGUGAAAGACUAUAUUUCCCAAAUAGCAAGUGCAUUGUUUUUUUAUUAUUAUUAUUAUUGGAAGAGCAAAAUAAUAAUUAUACUACUGUAUUAUGAUGAAUCUAUGUUACUCCAUAAUAUUAAGCACUCCUUCACGCUCGGCUUUUGAUGCGAAGAAGCGAAGGGUGAAAGAGGGCAAAGAAAACCAGCAAAGGGACGGGAGCCAUCCCCGAGCUCCCAAUUUCAAGAAACAAAAAUAGGAAUGGAAACACCGACAAGAGCUAAAAAAAAAAAAAAAAAAAAAAGCUAAAACUAAAUAUGGUUGUUCUGCCAAAGAUUUUUUUUGGAAAUUUUGUGUAUUUGUUUACAGAAAUAAUUACAAAACUCUUAUUUGUAUCUGAAUUUCACUUUCCCUUUAUAUUUCUAUAAAUUACAUUUUUUAUUGUAUAGUUUAUAUCUUCAAUAAUAUUAUUUUACGUCUUUAACAUUAUAUUUUGUUCGAGUUUUUUGUUUGCCCAAAAUGAAAAGUAUAAUUUAUAAAAGUACAAGAGAGAAAAUGAAAGUUAGAUCAAUCAGUCCCAUGUAUGCAGACCUAUUGGGUGCCCAACCCGGCUUUCUUCUUCUUUCAAUAUUUAUGAUCUUUUGAAUCUCGAUUUUUUUCAAGUAAUUAAUUUUUUUUCACAUCCAGUCUAAGCAUUUUUUUAUUGUUGUUCAUUCUUGCCUUCUUCCAAUAACUGAUUCUCUUAAUUAUAUUUUAUAAGUGAUAUGCAUGAUUGGUUGCAUGUUUGCUCUUUUCAUUCAUCAAAAUAAAAAAUAUUUAUAAUAUGUAUUUAAUUUUUUUUUUUAAAAAAACAUGAUAUCAAAUACUUCAAAAUAAAUAUUCAAUUAAAAAACUUCCACAAUUUUUUGCCUAGUUAUAACCAGACUGGGGUUGCGUUAUACCACCGAAUAGCUCACUUGUUUUUUAACAUUAAAAAAAAUGUUAAGAUAAUGUAAGCGUUUUUAAAAAAGCAGAAAUUUUUUUAUCCUAGAGUAAUUGACUCGUUUGGAAAAGAUUGAAAUAAAUACUAUAAUCCUAAUUAAAAUAAAAAAAAUUAAGUUUAUAAUUCAUUAAAUAAAAUAUCUAAUAAUAAUUAAAUUAAGUUUAAUUAAUAAAGUUCAACUAAAAAUUAAAAUAAAUUAAAUCAAAACAUAAGCUAAAACUCAAUUUUUUAAUAAUUGAGACUACUUUUCGUCUAUGAUCAUAUAAAUACGUAAAUAAUAUCUCAAGUUUGAUGUUCCUAUUAUUUUCUUAUUUUGUUUCAUGAAAAAACAAAGAAAAAAACACCACUUUGAAAAUCAUUUAUUAGUUUACAAUUUAAGAAAACAAAAUAUUUAUCAUUGGAUAUUAUAAUAGUAGGCAUUAGUCAAACAGAACCAUGAGUUUGUAUUAAGUUUCAAAAUGUCACCAUCUCUCCAUAACUAGUUAACAAAAAAACUAGGUCUUCUAGUGAAGUUAUUAUAUGUAUCUGGACAUAGAUUGUUAUUCAUUGAAACACUAUAGUGAUGUAUUUGCUUUUACCAUAAAAACUUUAAACUAGUAUUCGGGGGAGAUUUCAUCUUUUCAGUAGGAUUAAUUUCUCAUUAUCAAAUUAAUUAGGAAUAGAUCUAUCUUUUAUAUAUUUUUUUAAAAAGUCAAAUGACUAAAAGGUCCAUAAAAACAAAAAACAUUAAAUUAUCUUUCAGGGGUUUAUUCAUAUUUUUAUUUUUUAAGUGCAAUAAAAUAAUUGAUAUACCUUUGUUUAUAUAUAUAUAUAUAAAAAAACAUUAACCAACACCUAAUGAUUUUUUUGUAUUUUCAUCAUGGUUUUUUUGUUAUAAUCAAGUUGGCUUAGAGAUAAUUUAGUCAUUUAAACUAUAUAAGUAUUAAUUAAAAAAAAUGGUUAAGAUGGCAUUCCACGCGUCAGUGUGUUGGUUAUUCUUGUGUUAUUUGGGCAGUGCGUGCAAUAGUAUUUGGUUGCAAAACAAUUGCUUUUGGGCUUCGAAUUUUCUUGGUGCCCCCUCCAUUCUUGGUCGCCUUGUAUAGCCAACGAGUUUUUGGUUUGGCACCAAUAACCUUUUCUUUUUUUCUUUUCUCUCUCCCACUUAAUUUUCAUGCCUAACCCUCUAAAGUUCCAAAAUAGUCUUCAAAUUUGUUUUUCAUUUAGAUUUGGUCUAUUUUUUAUCCCUAUUGAUUUAAUUUGAAAUAAUAUAUAGAAUUGCAAAUUUUUUCAAUUGCAUCCUCCUCUAAGUUUUAUGAUUUCAUCCUCCAAUUGUUUCCUAUAAGAUACAAUCCCUAUUUUGUUUAUUGAUUUUUUUACUUUGGCAAAUUUUUUAGAUUGAUAUUUUUUUAUUUUAUUCUUCAAUAUUAAAUUUGUUGAAAAUUGAUCUUCUUGAUCGAGCCAAGGUUUAAGAUUUUAUAGGUUACAAGUUUAGAAAAUUAGCCAAGGUAUAAGAGAUUCACCUGAGUUUGCUUCUUCUUCUUUUGAUCUUUUUUUAAGCUUAUGUUUUUUUAGUUUAUCAUUUGAUAUUUAUUUAAUUGGAGAUUAGGCUCCAUUAUUUUUUUAUUUGCUUUCUAUAUGAAUUUUCACUUGUUUUGAAAAUGACUCGGGUUAUCUCGAGUCUUUUUAUUUGUUAUUUUUUUUGUUAAAUUUAGCUUUCUUAUAGAAAAAACAUUUUUAUUAAAUUGAAUUAAUUGAUUAGAUAUAAUUAAGAAUGAUAUGAUCACUUUAUAAUAUUUUAUUUGGUUUGUUUUUAGGUCGUUGCUUUUACAGCGCGAGCAACCUUUUUUGAUGUCGUCAUCUAGCCUUUUGUAGUGACAUUAGAAUCGUCUUGGUGAACUCUUUCUGAUGGUAAAAUGAUGACCACGAGAGAUAGACAAUGAGUCUCUAAUGAUAGGCUUUUCUUUCCUAUACUCAUGAGUAUUAUAUUGGUAGCUCAUUUUUAUAUUUAAUUAUUGCCAAAAAAAUUUUGCUUUAUUUAUUGUUGAUUUUUUUUAAUCAUAUUAUUAAAUUAACCAAACUCGGUGAACUAGUCAGAUCAAUGAUAAUAGUCUCAAAUAUUUGUUGAUUAUUUAAAAACUUUCACUUCAUCUUAAUAUCUUUUUUUUUUGUCAAAUUUUUAUUUUAUUUUAUAUAUUGUUGUUGCAUUUAGAUAAUACACGAGACUUGUAUGUUUUUUAGAAACACUAACAUUGUCUUAAUAUAUGUUUUUAUAUUGAAAAAAAUUUAGGUUGACCCGUUAGCAUAGCGUGAGUCAUCUAUCCAGUACAUAAUACAUGGAGUUUCUUAAUUUUGUCCUUGAUUGAAGCAGCAAGCUGCGGGAUUGUUCGUAUCUCAAAAUUCCCAAUAAAAGAAGGGCGACACAGCAAUUAGCAGUUCUAGUUUUAGGAGAAUGAUGGAAAAGAAACAGAGCACAAAUAGUUCAAAGCAUUUGGAGUUCUGGAGGAGCCAUGGGAUGCACAAAUUGUAUUGAGGAUAUUUUCGAGGUGUAAAUUAAAGAAAAGGUAUGCAGUUUUCUGGUCAUCAAUCUCCCUAUUGCAGUUUGGACAUGGAUAUAACGGCCAAAAUAUACUAAUAAAGCAACACAGUUGAAAUAUUAAUUGCUGACAUUAGGUGUAGUAGAACUGCUAAAACACUGAUCAGUUGUGGAAUUCGAUGACAGCGGUGACCGGAUAUUCUUUAGCAAUGCAACCACAUCACAGUCCGGAGGUUCUUUUUUCUUUGAUGCAUCGUUAUCACCAUGCUCCUGUUCCAGAUUCUCCAACUCAUACCCUCCACUCUCCAUUUCUUUUAGUUCCUUUAGCACCUCAUUCAUACAAGGUCUGAUUUCCUUGCCCUGCUGCAAGCAUAAAAAAGCCAACUCUGCAACUGAAGUUGUCAUUCUUUUAAUUUCCUCAUCUGACUUGUACCCAAGAUAUGGGUCAAUCAACUCAUCAAAUGCACAUUUUGAAUCUUGUUCAUUGCUAAUGUGGCCAAAUUUAUCUCAUGCUGAUUCCUAGUCAUAUCAACAGCAGGCAUUGAUGAUAUGAGCUCAAUGAGGACAACACCAAAGCUAUAGACAUCACUCUUAGCUGUCAGCUGGUAACACUGAUGGUAUUCUGGGUCAAGAUAGCCAGGUGUUCCCUGUGGAGCAGUUGAGAUGUGAGUGACAUCGUUGGGGAACAACCUGGAAAGCCCAAAAUCUGCAACUUUCACACAGAAAUUGUUGUCAAGAAGGAUAUUGUUCGUUUUUACAUCCCGGUGAAUGAUAUCAGUAGCAUGCAGAUGAGCCAAUGCGGUAGCCGUUUCUAUGGCAAUCCUCAUUCUAAUAGUCCAAGUUAGUGAACCAGAUUUGGCUCGAUCAUGAUGGAGAUGAUCUGCAACUGUGCCAUUGGGAAUGUAUUCAUAGACAAGGAGGAGCUCGCGGCUGUGGCAAGAAGUACACCCAUAAAGAGUCACAAGAUUUUUGUGGCGCAGGCGAGUAAGGAUUUGAAUUUCAUUCAUGAACUGCUUUAACCUCUUACGAUUGUGUUCAUAUAGGCGCUUGACUGCAACUUCUCGCCCAUCUCGGAGUUUGCCUGUCGAGAUUGAUAAAUAAAAAAAGAAAAGCCCAUAAAUAAAGUCGCCAGCUUUCUUUCUUUCUUUCUUCCUUUGUUUUUCAGUUAAGAAAACCUACCGUAAUAUACAGUUCCAAAACCUCCGUCACCAAGUUCGUGUUUGGAAUCGAAGUUGUUUGUGGCUUCUUCAAGUUCAGAAUAGGAGAAGAUGGGGAUCCCAAAGUAGUUAGUGUCCCCUUCCGGGUCUGAUUUUGAUGAGGGAUCUGAAGAAGCAUUUGCUGAAUUGACGUUAGAGGAAAUGUGUGUUCUCUUGUGUCGAUGCCACCGGAUGAAAAAUAUGGACACCAAAAUUAUUAAUACCAUGAAAGGGACUCCGAGACCUGCAGUUGAAAAUAAGAGUACUGUACUUUUAACUUGAAUAUAUCCUUUGAGGAAAUUAUUUUACUGGCAGGAGGUUUUUCAUUGAACGUUGUUGCCGACACAUAUGAAGAAGAGUUGAAAUGUUGAGGAGGUAAAUUACCUAGUCCGAGCUUCAAUCUCAAAUUUUCUCUCUCUGCAACACAAAUAAAAAAGGAAAUAUGGCAUUAGUGCAAAACUUAAAAGUUAAAACAACGAAUUUAUGCAUGCUUUGCCAAAUCGAAUUCUCCAAUAUUUAGCAUGCACAAAAAUCAGCAAAAAAAAAAAUCAGAGCAAGCAGGACCUGCUUAUGAGUAAUAUGGGAUUUUGUGGCAAGCUAAAUUCUAUUCUCACGACCAUAUGAAUGUUGUUUGCCGAAACAUAUGAAGAAGAGUUGAAAUGUUGAGGAGGUAAAUUACCUAGUCCGAGCUUCAAUCUCGAUUUUUCUCUCUCUGCAACACAAAUAAUAAAGGAAAUAUGGCAUUAGUGCAAAACUUAAAAGGUAAAACAACGAAUUUAUGCAUGCUUUGCCAAAUCAAAUUCUCCAAUAUUUAACAUGCACAAAAAUCAGCAAAAAAAAAAAAAGAGCAAGGAGGACCUGCUUAUGCGUAAUAUGGGAUUUUGUGGCAAGCUAAAUUCUAUUCUCACGGCCCAUAAUUGUAAACCAUACCCAGUAAGCUAAAAUCAAUUGCAUAGAAGACAGGAAUUGAGUGGAAUACCAGAAAUAAAGAAUAGUAGGUCUAGUAAAAUGUCUCAAGGUCCUCAGGAGUAUACUGGGUCGUAGAAUACAAAUACAAAUAAACUUACAUGUAUUUAUCUCUCCCUAUUUUUGCUGUGUCCAUGCAUACCAUACCUUCAAUUGAAUGGAUGCAUUUGUACUUUUCUUUGAUGAUUUUACAUUCCCCUCUUUGCAAAUAACAACGAUAACAGGGACGCCGUACGAACACUUCAAUAGAGAAGGUAGCUGUUAACAGCCUGAAUAUGUCACCAUAACUCUCGGUUUUAUUCACUGGGAGCUGAAGAAUUGAACAGGUAGGUGGAGGACUAGGUAGACUGGUGUCGCGAGUAUAAUAGAUGCUGAAGUUCUUGCAUCCUUUAUAGUUAAAUUCAAGAUGCUGAGGAAAAUUGACACUGGGGUCAGUACAUUUGAAUAAAGUUAUGUUGGAGAUUGUUUUAUAAGACCAGCUGUAUGGGACACUGGCUGGAAGACUCAAAUUGUUGAAGGAAUCGCAUGAAUUGGAAUUCAAAUGCCUCCGUAAAUCUUUAUCAGUGAUUGAAAUGGUAUUAGCCUGAGAGAUGUUGUGAAGUUCAAACCAUUUUCCUCUCCUUUCUAGUUGGAUACUUUGAGAAUCUUCGUCACAGCCAUCCACCACACAGGGACCGCAUAUCUCAGGACUUGUGUUGUUGGUGAAUGGGAACUUGAUUUCUCCGAGCUUUCCACAAUUGAAAGUCGGACACUUGUUGUUGAAGUCCCAGUCAUCUUCUUUGGAAGCGCAAAUAAGCAAAGGGUGAAAGAGGGCAAAGAAAACUAGCAAAGGGACGGGAGCCAUCCCCGAGCUCCCAAUUUUAAGAAACAAAAUGGAGACACCAACAGGAUCAACUUCUCUUACUAGAACUAUGUCUUGGUGUCUCUUCAAAGUACAUAUAAUUCUUUAUCUGGCAACACACGUUAGUUGACAUGGAAACUUGAGUAGGAAGACUUGUAAUUAAGAUGACAGCAGGUGGGGUAGCCCUGCGAAAUUUACAUGUUAGAAAUCGUCUGUUUGGUCGGUGAUUGCACCAGCCCAGUAAGUUGACCUAUUGACUUUUCAAAGUCUUCUUCCCAAAUACCACGCAAUAUUAACAUAGACUUCUUUGCAGCUUGUUAUAAACGCCUGAACGUGCUAUAACAAAAAAGCGAAGUAUAGGGUUUCGCUAAAUUAGAUAAGAACCAUGUGGUAACAAUGCAAUAAGGCAUCUUUCUCAAAGAAUGGACUCCAUUACACGGUCCCUGAGCUUACUAGAUGCCAAGGAUGGAGUUCUAGGGAAGAUCAGAAAUUGGUGAGAGAAAAAUGACAGAUUAAGCGUCCAAGGAAAGUUCAGACGUGGAGGAGGGAUCAUAGAGGCAGAGGUUAAUUCAUGGGUCAAUAGUCAUCGCUAAAGUUUAUAUAUAUAUAUAUAUAUUAGUGGCCAUGAGUCCAAAGGUGAUAUCUCAAUUACUUCCAUUCCAUGGGCAAUCUCUGUGGAGGGACCCAAAGAAAAACCUUUCUACAAGGGAAUCAAUUUGUUGCAUAGUAAUAACUAGAUAGGGGUAGCGCUAUACCGUGGUCUCACCCAAUUUCUUUUAACGUGAAAAAAGUGCCAAGGCAACGCAAAUGUUUCUAAAAAGCAAAAAAAGCCUUAAGAGUCGCUUUAUUGACGUGUUUGAAUUUAAUAAAUUUAAAUAAUAUAAAUAAAAAAAUACAACAAUAAUAAAUACAUUGACAAAAAAAAUUGGCAACCUAAAAAAUUUAUAAAACUUGGAAAGCAAACUAAUAAAACUAUAAAUCUCAAUUAUUAAAUAACUCAAUGCUGAAGAGUGAAAAAUAAAUAAAUUAACUUGGGUUAACUCUUUAACCUUGCAAUCCUGAGCACAUGAUUGAGAUAACCCUAUAAAAAUAAAAGUUAGAAAAAAAAUAACAAGGACCAAUUCCUAAUGAAUCAAAUGUUCGAGGAAUAAAUUGAAAAAAAAAAAAAAGGACUUAAUAAAAAAAACCAAAGUCCACACAUAUUAAUCUUUGAAACUCCUGAUCCUUGUCAUGAGUUUGACACCAAGCAAAUAGAAGGUAAAAUCUAAAAAAUAACAUGGAAAAAUUAUAAAUCAACAAAAUAUUACAAUAUGAGAUUGAAAAUAAAAUUCAAUUAGGAAUAGAAAAAUAAAUAAAUGAUGAGAACCAAAUUUGAUACUGAAAUUAAAUAAAAUCAAAUAAUGAAAGAUGAAAUUGAAGAAAAAACAUCAAUCAAAACAAGAUAAAAAAAAAAAUAGUAAUUAAAAAAAUGAAAAUUGAAAUGGAUACCAAAAAAAUAAAAAAACACCUUUAUAAUUUAGCGAGAAGAACAGAGACAAAAAAAAAAAACAGAAAAAUAUAUAUUCAAGUCAAAUCAUUGUUUUAUUGUGUAUAUUCGCAACACCAAUAGAAAGAUCAUGGAGAUACACUUUCAUCAUCUCUUUAAAAAGUAGUGUUUGGACAUGGAAUAACAUUGCAUGCAUCUACUCGUUGGCACACCACCAAUCUUUUUUUUUCAAUAAUAUUUAUGUUUGUAUCAAGAUCAAAUAGCUUCCUAAUUAAUUUUUUAAUAGCUAAAACAUAGUUUGAAAUUAUAAAAAAGCUCAUGGAUCCUCAAUCGAUUUGACCAAUGACUUAUAUGUAAAAGAUUAUAUUGCCCAAAUAGCAAGUGCAUUGUGUAUUUUUUAUUAUUAUUGAAGAGCAAAAUAAUAAUUAUACUAUUAUAUUAUAAUGAAUCUAUGUUACUCCAUAAUAUUAAGCACUCCUUCACGCUCGGCUCUUGAUGCGAAGAAGCGAAGGGUGAAAGAGGGCAAAGAAAACCAGCAAAGGGACGGGAGCCAUCCCCGAGCUCCCAAUUUCAAGAAACAAAAAUAGGAAUGGAAACACCGACAAGAGGAUCAAGUUCUCUGACUGAAAUAAGGUCUCAAAGUCUCUUAAUUAUUGUGAUCUGCAAUAUAUCUUGUUGUGUGCUUACUAAGCACGUCAAUUUACUUGGAAAUUUGAUAUGGAAGACUUGUGAAAUGGAUUGAAAGAAGUGAGAGGAAGUUCAUGUGAGAUUUCCAGCUGCCCUGCCUGUUCUAUUGAUCAUCACUUAGAAACAAUCGACUCCUUAAUUCUUUAAAAACAAAAAAGUACAAGAGAUAAAAUGAAAGUUAGAUCAAUCAGGCCCGUGUAUGCAGACCUAUUGGGUGCCCAACCCGGCUUUCUUCUUCUUUCAAUAUUUAUGAUUUUUUGAAUCUCGAUUUUUUUCAAGUAAUUAUUUUUUUUCACAUCCAGUCUAAGCAUUUUUUGUUGUUGUUCAUUCUUGCCUUCUUCCAAUUACUGUUUCUCUUAAUUAUAUUUUAUAAGUGAUAUGCAUGAUUGGUUGCAUGUUUGCUCUUUUCAUUCAUCAAAAUAAAAAAAUAUUUAUAAUAUGUAUUUAAUUUUUUUAAAACAUGAUAUCAAAUACUUCAAAAUAAAUAUUCAAUUAAAAAACUUCCACAAUUUUUUGCCUAGUGAUAACUAGACUGGGGUUGCGCUAUACCACCGAAUAGCUCAAUUGUUUUUUAAUGUUAAAAAAAUGUUAAGAUAAUGUAAGUGUUUUUUAAAAAAUAUAAAAUUAUUUACACUAGAGUAAUUGACUCGUUUGGAAAAGAUUGAUAUAAAUACUAUAAUCCUACUUAAAAUAAAAAAAAUUAAGUUUAUAAUCCAUUAAAUAAAAUAUCCAAUAAUAAUUAAAUUAAGUCUAAUUAAUGAAGUUCAACUAAAAAUUAAAAUAAAUUAAAUCAAAACAUAAGCUAAAACUUAAUUUUUUAAUAGUUUAGGCUACUUUUCGUCUAUGAUCAUACAAAUAUAUAAAUAAUAUCUCAGGUUUGAUGUUCCUACUAUUUUCUUGUUUUGUUUCAUGAAAAAAAAAACACCAUUUUGAUAUCUAAAAUUAUUUAUCGGUUUACAAUUUAAGAAAACAAAAGAUUUAUCAUUGAAUAUUAUAAUAGUAGGCAUCAAUCAUUCAGUACCAUGAGUUUGUAUUAAGUUUCAAAAUAUCACAAUCCCUCCAUGACCGGUUAACAAAAAAAACUAGAUCUUCUAGUGAAGUUAUUAUAUGUAUCUAGACAUAGAUUGUUAAUCAUUGAAACACUAUAAUGAUGUAUUUGCCUUUACACUAUAAAAACUUUAAACUAGUAAUCGGGGGAGAUUUCAGAAUUAAUUUCUCAUUAUCAAAUUAAUGAGGAAUAGAUCUGUCUUUUAUAUUUUUUUUAAAAGUUCGAAAGACUAAAAAGCCAAUAAAAAUGAAAAAUAUUAAAUUAUCUUUCAGGGGUUUAUUUAUAUUUUUAUUUUUUAAGCGCAAUAAAAUAACUGAUAUACCUUUCUGUAUAUAUAUAUAAAACAUUAACUAACACCUAGUUGUUUUUUUGUAUUUUCAUUGUUGUAACCCAUUUUUGGGUCCCUUUGAAAAAUAAAAUAAAUAGCCAAAAGAGGUUAGAAAAAUAACCGGAGGCAGAAGCGCCCGGAAAACAGUAAGAAAAUUGGUCAAGGAAUUUAAAAAUACAAGGAUUGAAUUUUUGACAGUAUAUUCUUGAAGGAUGAAAGCCCGCUAUUGAGAAGAAAAAAUUGAAUUUUAGGGAGAAAAGCCCAAAUUUGGAUUUUUAUGGGCUUAAUUGGAUUUUUAUGGGCUUAAUUGGAUUUUUAUGGACUUAAUUGGAUUUUUAUUUGAAUUUAUAGAAGAUUUGAUUCCAAGAAAAUUGAUUUUUAAGUCAAUUUGGGCUUUAAUUUGGAGAAAUUUAAGUUCUGGGGCCAAAAUAUAUUUUUUAGGAAUUUAUUGGGUCAAAUCAGGGGCUCAAUUGCAUAAAAUUGAAGUUUAAGGGCCAAUUAAGGACUUAAUUGAGAAAAUCCGAAACCAGGGACCAAAUUGGAAGAGGCGCGUAAAUGGAGGGGCUGCUAAUUUUUCGGUUCAGGGGCCUAAUUGAAGAAAUUGAAAGUUUAUUAAUCAAUUGAGGGCUAAAUUGCAUAAAUCAGAUGCCAAGGACCAAAAUGAAAAAGGCGGCCAACAAGAAGGGCGGGGACCGAAUUUGGAGGACUGAUUUGAAGUUUGGCCAUUAAAUGAAACGGCGCGUUUUAUUCAAAACGACGCCGUUUCAUAUACAAAAAAAAAAAAAAAAAAAAAAAAGGAAAGCAGAACGGUGUCGUUUUGAACGACACUGUUCAUCAUCUCCUUCCCCCCCCGUUUGUAGCAGAACAGAAGGUAAAAAAUUUUGAAAAAAAUCUCCCGCGUCUCUCUCUCUCCUCGCCCCCACCACCACCACCGAAAGAACCGACCAGCCAUGCGUGAUUGAAGGCGCACUAACCACGGUCCCCUACCCGUGCUCCCCUAUAAAUAAAGAAGAAAAACCGAAAGGAGAAGAGGAAAAACCGAAAGACCCGAAGAGAGAAAGAGAGAGAGAGUGACCCGAAGAGAGAGAGAAGAACAGAACCAAACCAAGAAGAAGGAAACCGAAACAAAACCAAAACCGAACCGAGAAUAGGCAGCCACUGAGAACGAAAAAAAAAACGAAGGAGAAGGGAGGAAGAAGAAUUUUUCGCCACUGAAACAGCAGCAACGCCGCCCGAAACCGCCAUCCACGAGCCGCGCCACCGUAGCCCCGCCAGCCAACCACCGUCUCCAGCCUCGCCAGGUAUUCCCUCCCCUGCAUUUUUUUUUUCUCUCGUCUUCUGCUAAUUCUCAUCUCCUGCAUGCAGAUUUGUGCUGCAUGCAGGAGACGGGGGAAAAUUAAUUCCCCCCGUUAUAUUUUAUAUAUGGGCCAGAAGGGUUCUGGCCCAACCCAGCGGUCUGGGCCGGGUCCGGCCCAGACCAAGUUGUGUUUUUGGGCCGACUUCGGCCCAGUACCUUUCCUGGGCCGAGGUCGGCCCAGUUACCUUUCCUGGGCCGAGGUCGGCCCAGUCACUGUGGGGCUGAGCCCGGCCCAAUCAGUUGGGCCGGCCCAGCCCCUUAAUAAAUAUAUAAUUAUAUUAUAUAUAUUAUAUUAUAUAUAUAUGUUAUAUAUAUAUAAAAUAUUUGUAAAAAAUCUAAAAAAUCUAAAAAAAAUAUUGUUAUUUUCUUUCAUGUAUAUAUAUUUUUAAGGGGGUUUGUUUUUUUUUAUAUACUGUGAGGUAUAAAUUCAGUAUUUAAAAUAUCUGAUUUUCGUCGUAGCACCCGAAAUUUUCCAAAGAUAAUUUUUUUUUUUGCUUUCAAAAAUUUCUAAAAUUCCUAAAAAAUAUUGUGGAUUUUUCCGCAUAUUUUUUUUUUAUGACUUAAUAUUAGUUUGUAUUUUUUUUUGUGGAGAUACAAAUUCAGUAUUAAAAAUACCUGAUUUCGUCAAAAAAAAAUAUUGUUUAAAAAAAAAAUAUUUUUCUUGCGUGUUGCAUACGGCCAAUACUCUAACAUGUUUUGAAUAUUCUUUUUAUAAAACAAAUAUAUUGGAAGCUUCGAAAGUGUGUUUUCGCAUAGAUUUCUUAAACACAAAUUAUUUUCUUGCAUUUUGGAUUUUACAACGUGUUUGUAAAAUUCCAAAGGGUAUUGGCCAAUAUUCAAAAAACUAUAAAAAUCUUAUUUUGGGAAAAGGAAUUUAUUUAUUAUUUACCGCUAAUGUUUGGAUAAAGAAAUCCUUAAAAGGAUGAAUAUCCAAAAUAUUAUCGGGAAUAAUAAAUCCGCACACAAUUCUUGAAAGAAGCCUUGAUUAUAAUCGAGGACAUUUCAAAAUUAAUUUAAUUUUUUUUCUCCACGAUUUAUGAGUCACAAACUUUUGAAAUACUAAGGGAAAAAUGAGCUUUCAAAGCACAUGGAAUCUCCUUAGAUUUCUAUCCAAAAUCAAUUGACGAGCCUAGAAAAUACCUACACCAUAGCAGUUAUAGAGCAAACCAAACACCAAGCAGCUUACCUUAGGUAGGGCGUACUAGGGGUGCUAAUACCUUCCCUUUACGCAACCAGUCCCUUGCCUUAGAAUCUCUGAAAGACCAGUUAGGGUUCCUAGUGACCAAAAUACUAGGUGGCGACUCCCAAAGAACCAAAUCAACAAAACAGAACAAAACGAAAGUUGCCAGUCGAAUGUCGCAAAACAAAUUUUAAAAUAAACAAAACUUUUUUUUUUAUAUAUUUUUUUUUUUUUGGGGGUGCGACAUUCAUCAUGAUUUUUUUUGUUAUAAUCAUGUUGGCUUAGGGAUAAUUUAGUCAUUUAAACUAUAUAAGUAUUAAUUAAAAAAAAAUGGUUAAGAUGGCAUUCCACGCGUCAGUGUGUGGGUUAUUUUCGUGUUAUUUGGGUAGUGCGUGCAAUGGUGUUUGGUUGCAAAACAAUUGCUUUUGGGUGGUUUUCGAAAUGUCCUGGUGCCCCCUCCAUUCUUGGUCGCCUUGUGUAGCCAACGAGUUUCUAGUUUGGCACCAAUAACCUUUUUUUUUCUUCUUUUUUCUUUCCCACUUAAUUUUCAUUCCUAACCCUUUAAAGUUCCAAAACAGUCUUCAAAUUGUUUUUCAUUUAGAUUUGGUUUAUUUUUUAUCCCUAUUGAUUUAAUUUGAAAUAAUAUAUAGAAUUGCAAUUUUUUUUCUAUUGCAUCCUCCUCUAAGUUUUUAUGAAUUCAGCCUGCAAUUGUUUCCUAUAAGAUAAAAUCCCUUAUUUUGUUUAUUGAUUUUUUUACUGAUAUUUUUUUUAUUUUAUUCUUCAAUAUUAAAUUUGUUAAAAAUUGAUCUUCUUGAUCGAGCCAAGGUCUAAGAUUUUAUAGGUUACAAGUUUAGAAAAUUAGCCAAGGUAUAAGAGAUUCACCCGAGUUUGCUUCUUUUUUUUUUUUUGACCUUUUUUUAAGCUUAUGCUUUUUUAGUUUAUCAUUUGAUAUUUAUUUAAUUGGAGAUUGGGCUCCAUUUAUUUUUUAUUUGCUUUCUAUAUGAAUUUUUACUUGUUUUGAAAAUGACUCGGGUUAUCUCGAGUCUUUUUAUUUGUUGUUUUUUUUUGGUUAAAUUUAGCUUUUUUUAUAGAAAAACAUUUUUAUUAAAUUAAAUUAAUUGAUUAGAUAUAAUUAAGCAUGAUAUGAUCACUUUAUAAUAUUUUAUUUGGUUUGUCCAGGUCGUUGCUUUUACAGCGCGUGCAACUUCUUUUGAUGUCGUCAUCUAGCCUUCUAUAGCGACAUUAGAAUCGUCUUGGUGAACUCUUUUUGAUGGUAAAAUGAUGACCACGAGAGAGAGAGACAAUGAGUCUCUAAUAAUAGGCUUUUCUUUCGUAUACUCAUGAGUAUUAUAUUGGUAGCUCAUUUUUAUACCUAAUUAUUGCCAAAUUUUUUUGCUUUAUUUAUUGUUGAUUUUUUUUAAAUCAUAUUAUUAAAUUAACCGAACUCGGUGAACCUAGUCAGAUCAAUGAUAAUAGUCUCAAAUGUUUCUGAAUAUCUUUUUUUUUGUUAAUUUUUAUUUUAUUUUAUAUAUUGUUGUUGCAUUUAGAUAAUACACGAGAAUUGUAUAUCUUUUAGAAACCCUUAUAUUGUCUUAAUAUAUGUAUUUAUAUUGAAAAAAAAUUAGGUUGACCCGUUAGCAUAGUGUGAGUCAUCUAUCCAGUACAUAAUACAUGGAAUUUCUUAAUUUUGUCCUUGAUUGAAGCAGCAAGCUGCAGGAUUGUUCGUAUCUCAAAAUUCCCAAUAAAAGAAGGGCGACACAGCAAUUCGCAGUUCUAGUUUUAGGAGAAUGAUGGAAAAGAAACAGAGCAUAAAUAGUUCAAAGCAUUUGGAGUUCUGGAGGAGCCAUGGGAUGCACAAAUUGUAUUGAGGAUAUUUUCGAGGUGUAAAUUAAAGAAAAGGUAUGCAGUUUUCUGGUCAUCAAUCUCUCUAUUGCAGUUUGGACAAGGAUUAGAUGUUACAUGUUGAAGCCCGUAUAUACUAAUAAAUGAACACAGUUGAAAUAUUAAUUACUGACAUUAGGUGUAGUAGAACCGCUAAACCACUGAUCAGUUGUGGAAUUCGAUGACAGCGGUGACCGGAUAUUCUUUAGCAAUGCAACCACAUCACAAUCCGGA